rnacentral:rRNA from 1 species
GCGGACUGUUAAGUCNNCCNGUGAAAGCCCUGNGNUCAACCUAGGAAUUGCAUCCGAUACUGGCAAUCUAGAGUUUACCAGAGGGAAGUGGAAUUCCUGGUGUAGCAGUGAAAUGCGUAGAUAUCAGGAGGAACAUCAGUGGCGAAGGCGACUUCCUGGCCUAAAACUGACGCUGAGGUGCGAAAGCGUGGGUAGCGAACGGGAUUAGAUACCCCGGUAGUCCACGCCGUAAACGAUGUCAACUAGCUGUUGGCCUUAUUAAAAAGGUUAGUAGCGUAGCUAACGCGCUAAGUUGACCGCCUGGGGAGUACGGUCGCAAGAUUAAAACUCAAAGGAAUUGACGGGGGCCCGCACAAGCGGUGGAGCAUGUGGUUUAAUUCGAUGCAACGCGAAGAACCUUACCAUCCCCUUGACAUCCUG